CGCGCUCCCGACGCACACGCCGCGCCUCGCUCCGCCUCUUCAGCCCUCACUACACCACCCACGGUGACCCAACAGCACCCUGCCUGCCUGGCUCAUGUGCAGUGUGCCACCUGCUUUCCCCCGUGACGCGUCGCGCUCGCAUAACCAUAUGUGAGAGGCAACAGCGAACGAAAUUGUUUAUUGGUGUGAUUUUGCCAGUGCGAAAAAAGAUGAAGUGUCAGGGAGGUUUGAUAAGCUGGAGUAUUAUAUGAGGAGAGGAAGUGUGUUAUUAGUGUUUAUUUUGGCGACUAUAUCAACAGUUACGCUGGCAACAGCUGUCACAAUCUCCCCCUGUCUAUCGUUCAGUGUAAAUUGAACGAGGGGGAAGCAAAGUGUUGAAAAAACAGAGUGCACCAGACCCGGUUUAGUGGACAGUUCUGUUCACGUCAGGGUUGAGCUCAGCGAUUUUCUGUUGCACAGUGUAGAAGCAACACCUCUACCACCCCAGCCUCCGCCCACACCUCGUCUGCUUCUACCCUCGAGUCUGUCGGAGUUGACUGAUCGUUACCUGGAAAAAUAAGGAGGAAAAACAGUUGGGACUGAGAAGCUUACGGUGGUGGUCCCUUUAAUACCGGGUCACGAUAUAGAGAACAUAUUCGGUGACAGGAACUAACUCGCCUGACGACAACACCAUAAAACUGCCGUAAUAGAAACAAGUGAAUGUGGGCGGCUGUGAUCAAGGGAGCUGCUGUAGCUCUCAACCUAAACUUUUAGGUCCCUGCGCUGUCCUUGGCUCCCCCGCUUUGGUAAAUAAUUAAUAACAAGUGAACAAGUGUGUGUUUGGCGGGGGGAGGAGCCUCGGGUCUAUGUAUCCGGUUCUUCCAUCUCUAAUUUACUACACGCUGGCGUUAUUUAUGGCCUCGUGACAAACUGCACCAAGAUAAUUGCUCGUGUGUCGUCGUAAUUAUGAUGAAUGCAGACGUUGCAGUGAUAUAAGAAAGCAAUUUGAUAACAUCUGUUUGUCUGCAAGUCAACACAUUGAUCUUCCUCGACACAAAGCUGAUGGUAUAUUUUUAUAACGAGAGCAACAGUCGUACCCAUGUUGCGUAUCCUUUAAUGGAGGUUCUUCCAGGAAACUGUUGCUCCACAUCGAGGUACAUAUGUGCUGCUUUACUAGCUGCCGCGACUCUCAUUUAGUGUGAGCAACAGUUUGGCAGCUGAACACUCAACCUAGAAAGUUGUUCUUAUUGUUACGUCCUCACCACCCUGUUCAACCUCGAGUGAGUGUCAUUAGGAGUGUAAGUGAGGUGCGCCCUUGGGCUGUCUUAGAACAAAAAGGCCAGUAAGUCAUCAUUUAUAGCGUGUUUAUUGAGGGUCGUUCUCCUGGUCAUAAUAUCGUUACAGUGCCGCGAGGGGACAGCCUACGGCGGUGGUCGCCAGGGAGGUAAUCCCCUCUAGUGGUGACUCACUGCCUACCUCCUCCACCUGCCAUGAGGCUGUGCUCUAGUGAUAUUACUUUUCUCAGGAUUCGUGAAUAAUUAGUCGUAGAUAAUGAACAGCUGUGAAAUGUUGACAGAAACAGAGGCUCUGUGGACUAGGACUAUAAACAGUGUAAUGAUCACAGUUCACAAUGCUGAUGAACUGAACCAAAGGAGACAGUUUACUUAAUACCAGAUUCUGUAAAAGAAGUGUCGCGGGGAAAAGAGUUUGGUGUAGGUAAGAGAAACAAGAGGAGAUCUUUAAAGGCCAACACCGCCGCCGCUACCAUGGACUCGUGCUCCCGCGCCCCCUCCCCCCUGACACCUGCGGAGCACCUCAGUCUGGGUGACUUCCUCCCGUUCGAUCGUGACGCGAGGAUGGACGACACUGUCGAGUUCCUAGAGUGCUGUUCACUGGACUAUGCCAAACCUAACAAAAUCACAGUGGUGUCUGGCCAGCCCCUCGGUGUCUCAGAGUGCUCAGAGGAGUGUGAGUUAGACGGGAGUUAUACGGAGUACGUCGAGACGCAAUGGGUCAAAGGUAGCGGCAGCGAGGGGGACCAGGAGAGUCCGUGUAAACACGACAGUGUGGAGGAUGUUGGUCACGAUAUAGGCAGUGACACAGAGAGUGUGGUGGUGAGUGCCCCCCUCCACGGCCCCACCACCGUCAGGUGUGUGUGCGUGUGUAAAAAACGUGGCUGCAAGUUUGUCGACAAGCCCUUUGAUGCUCACAGCGUCCGAGAGUCGCCCACUACCAAGAUGUCAAUGAGGUAUAGGAUGGUGACCUGGCUGACGGCGCUUAAACCACAAAGAGGAGCCGACAGCCCAGUAGCGGACCAAGUGGAUGUCGGCUCAAAGGUCCAUCCAGAAAAGAAGUCCAAAAUCAUCCAGAUGUUCAGGUCCAGGAGAUUUCGGAGCAGUGCGAAAACAAGUGAACCCGAAAUCCCAGGUUCAGUGGAGACAGUGAGGAAACGUUUCUCGGAUUUGAGUGGGAUGAAGAAGCCCGCGCUGCCUGGAGAGAUGCGACGGUUCAAGAGGUGUACACAGGUGUCCGUACCAAGGUCUAUUGCUGUGCUGUUUGGCUUCACGCUCAUCUUACUCGGGGUGACUUACGACCAUGGGGUCAAACACGGAGUGGACAACCUUUUGCAGAGUUGUUGGUCGUGGCUCAGGACUAGCUACAUGAAUUUCGGUGACGAGUUCGUGUCUUAUAACAGUUUGUUCUUCCGAAUGAGCAACAACGAGGCCUUAUAUGGUGAGCCGUACCCAAAGUUCGGGCAAAACAGCACCAAGAAAGGCACCCCCAAUAUUACACGGUUCAAGGACGCCAUCAACAAUGUCGACCCUAAAUUUCUGUUUGUGUUGGAAGGGUUGAAACUCUCCGUCCAGGUACACUUCUUCAGUAUCGACGAAACCUCCGACAUAUCGAGUGCCCAGGUGAUGGUGCAAGACCAAGGUCCUCUCUUCUUCAGAAUAUCCUUCAGGAGAGCUGCUGGCCUCCACGUGGAGUAUAUACCCGACAGAUCCAACAUGUCGCUCUCCACGCCGUUCCAAAUUUACGACUUAAUGAAAAUGAUAAUGUUAAGUAAUGAGUUUCCUUAUUUUGGGAUGCAUAUGCACGAUUAUAUGGCAACUACUCCGUCUGCUCUCUUCACUAUGAUAAUCGAUAAUCUCAAUAAAUUCAACGUGGACACAACCUUCCUCGCCAGUAUACAGAAACAGAUACAGAAAGGAAGGAUCAAAAGAGAGACAGAAGAACAGGAGAAUCCAAAGGUUCUGGAUCAGGUCGAGUCCACUCCAGAAACAUCAAAACAAACGACGACAGAGGCGGCCACACCAGGUACGAUCUCUCCUGUUAUACUGACCUCGGAGAGAACGACAACGGAAAGGUUAACUGAACGUCAUAUAAACGUCAGUAACAGAACGCCAGCCAUCACUAUAUUCGAGAGAAUAAGAAGAUCUACAGAGGAGCCAACAAGGAGAAAAUCCGCGUGGAAAUCCCUGGCCGAGAUAUCCAGCAAAAUAUUUUUACCUCUUCCCUUAGACACAAGAAAAACGGUGCUGCUGCCGGUGCCAUUUAUAGAGAAGAACCUGACGCUGAGGUACCGGCACUCCAUCAAUGUGCUGGGUCUUCCCGGCUACCAGUUUGUGCUGGGGAACGAUAUCACCAAGGGAGGCACUUGGGACAACCCCCACCCAGACCUGUACCCCUCCCUUAGCUAUUCCAGGGUGAAGGAUGGCGAGAAGGCUGACGACCCCUCCAACCCGCACCUUCAGCGACAUAGAUACAAUGAUAAAAAAAAACAUCACCGACAUCCUAAGCAUCAAAAUUCUUUAGAAGGUGAUAGUUAUAAAAAAAGUUUCAAUGAAGUGCUCGGAGUUGUUGACUUAGAGCCUUUGCUUGUAGAGACCAUAGGGCGGUUGUCUAUAAUGGGACGUCCCCUAGAACACUAUCCAUUCUGGCUAUCCCCUCCACAUUUUUUAUCAUUAACAGAUAGUAUAGAAAACUUAAAUAAGUCGAAGUUUACUCAAGACUCCUUGAACAUUUCUGGGUCAAAAUUGUCUUUAUUUCACUCGAAUCCAAAUAAUAAAAAUAUCCUCGUGGGUGUGGAUGGCGUGUCGGCUAACGAGUCCAUCCACGGGUCCUUCAUCUACUACCACCCGAUCCUCGGGGUGCCCAUUAACGCCUCCCUCGCCGUCCAGGUGGGCAUCCGACCCCCGGAGGGGAUGCUGCACGCCCACAAGCUCGUGCCCAUCAUGUGGACGCGCGUGCAAGUGGAGGAGAUCCCGUUAACGCUGUGGUACAUCCUGUGGGCGGCCUGCCACCUGCGGGAGACAAUCAUGGCCUCCUUCAUCUGCACCGGGGUCCUCGUCAUCACCUGCGCCCUCACCUGUAAGAGGAAGAGGAGGCCGGUGGAACGUCCAGGUAGUGCCUAAGUUAAUUGUGAAGUUGGCGUCGAGGUGUAUCAUCCAGAAGACGGGUUUCCAGACUUAACGAAGUACAGGAAGUGGAAACCGUUCUUUUGUUUAUGCUGGUGCAGACAGCAGCCCACCACAGACUUUCUCAAGCUAUCGUGGGAGAGAAAAACCUCUGUGAGAAUGCUCAAUGUCUUCCUUGUAUAGAUAUAUCUUCCACAUAAAUAAAAGUUGUAAGAUAAAAACAGAAAGGUGAGACCCAACCGGUUGACUCACCAUCAUCAAUGGCGGCAAAGGUGCGCCCCGGGAAGAGUGAUCUAGACAAGCCCACUCUUACCGACCUCUAAAUUUGCGGGAGUUGGCUCGUACACGACACUGGAAGAAGGCCAGCCACUCACCGGAACACGACGCACCCGCAAACACUGGCCCCCACACGCCUAAUACCAUCUGCGCUCCUCAAACGACGUCCACACAACCUUGGCCCAAAGUUGUGAGCCAAUUGAUGAACGUCUCAAGAUCACUGGCAACCACCUGGACUAACUGACGAACACCGGAUCUACAUGGGCCAGCUGGUGGAGGUUUUAACCCGCAUUAGCAACCAUCUGGACCACAGUUGGUAGAGGUGGACUAUGCCUUACUGCUGGAAUACCUCAGCCAGUGGUAGACAUGGAAACCACUUGUCACUGCCACCUGGGGCCUCCUGAUAGGUCGUCCAGAACCAAUGUUGUGGAUCCUCUACCGACACACUGCGGCCCAGAUCAACCACCGAGCCCCCACGACCACCGGACACCCGCCGACGUCUGUGGGAACAAACCAUAAAUUUGGAUAAGACAGUCGCGAUCCCCAUAGAGAAACACCCAUUAGAUUUUCUACGGUACAUUUGCAUCCCCGUAGCCCUAGGUAUUCUGGCUUUGGUGAUUUUCUGCAUCUGCGUGGGCAAGAAAGACU